rnacentral:lncRNA from 10 species
AAGUGGUCAGGCUCCAUUGAGAUUGGGGUCACCACCCACAACCCCAACAGUUUGGAGUACCCAGCCACCAUGACCAACCUCCAGUCAGGCACCAUCAUGAUGAGCGGCUGUGGAAUCCUGACCAAUGGCAAGGGCACCCGCCGGGAGUACUGCGAAUUCAGUCUGGAUGAGUUGCAGGAGGGUGACCACAUUGGCCUCACAAGGAAGUCCAACUCUGCCCUACACUUCUUCAUUAAUGGUAUCGAUCAGGGUAAGGGCCGCCCAGAGAGAGCCUCUGGGCCGGGGCUUUCGGUGGGGCUGGGACUGGGGGCUGUACCUCAUCCUCCUGCUUCUCUUUGGUGCUUGGCCUCCCUGUGUUUGACUUUCUCCCCUCAUUCUCCCUGUCCACUCCCACACCCCCGUACCUUCCUGCCACAGGAGUGGCAACCCCCUUGACGCCCCCAGUGGUGUAUGGUGUGGU